rnacentral:rRNA from 1 species
GGAAUAUUGGUCAAUGGAGGCAACUCUGAACCAGCCAUGCCGCGUGCAGGAAGACGGCCCUCUGGGUUGUAAACUGCUUUUAUUCGGGAAUAAACCUACUUACGUGUAAGUAGCUGAAUGUACCGAAGGAAUAAGGAUCGGCUAACUCCGUGCCAGCAGCCGCGGUAAUACGGAGGAUCCAAGCGUUAUCCGGAUUUAUUGGGUUUAAAGGGUGCGUAGGCGGCCUAUUAAGUCAGGGGUGAAAGACGGUAGCUCAACUAUCGCAGUGCCUUUGAUACUGAUGGGCUUGAAUGGACUAGAGGUAGGCGGAAUGUGACAAGUAGCGGUGAAAUGCAUAGAUAUGUCACAGAACACCGAUUGCGAAGGCAGCUUACUAUGGUCUUAUUGACGCUGAGGCACGAAAGCGUGGGGAUCAAACAGGAUUAGAUACCCCGG